UUGAAUCAUAGCAGUUCACUGAGUGCUUUGGCCUUGCCACAGCAGGUGCAGAGUAAUGCUAAAAUGCUGAGGUCCAAGAGGGCAAGGUGAACGAGGAUGUGAUCUCUCAUGUCAGUAAUCAGCAGCUCUACAGGAGUCUGGCCCGUCUGUCUGCUAUUUCACUGUCUGGGCGAUUGUGAAUAAACGGGUGUGCCACCAAACGUGCAACCAUGAUCACUUUAGCUCAGCCUCAGUUUAAUAAAACACCGGCCUGGUAAUAUUUUGAAUUGCAGGCUGAGGUUGCAGAGAGGUCGGGCUGAAUGGAGGCUGAAAGAGCUGCACUGUGCUAACGUUUAAACAAUGGUUGGCUGGCUAACGUUAGCUGAUGUUACCACAAAGCGGCGAGCCCCCCUCCUUCCCGGUGAAAACAACUAGUUAGCUUCAAGAUAAAAUAUGAAAAAUGCUAAAACCGAAGCUGGGAUUUUAAACGACCUCGCCAGUCAUUUUAAACUAAGUCCCUAACGCCGCGGGAAGCUUUAAACGCCAGUUAAAGGUAACUUAGCUACAUUUGCUAACGUUGCUGAAACAGGGGGGUGGAGAUUUGUGUUUUGGUGAGCGACUCCCCAGAUGUGGAGCUUUGGAGCGUGUUCCUUCGCACCGCCAGCUGUGCCGGGGCUGGUCCCGUCUCAACAGCGGCAGACACGGAGACGUUUCACGGCGAGCCAGGAGGAGGCAACCGGAGGGCAAGGGCAGCGGAUUUGGAGCCUAUCCCAAAAUGCAUAAACAGAAGGAAGGGAAAUCCUCAGGGACUGUUUCCAAAGCUGCCGCAAGGAUUAUAAGGUCUCACCGGUCGACAAACAUGGUGGGAGAAUCCGACCGGGUGCUCUCCAGAUCAGUCAUAGCGUUCCACUCAUUGAGGCAGCUCUGCUCUGAAGUGAUGCAGCUCUCGUAGAAGGCCAUCCAUGUAAACAUGAAGAACUUACUCACCACAUGGCCUGCACAGAUACAGGCUUGAAGACAUGUGAUCGCCCUGCCGUGUUCACACUGAAGCCUCUAAGGAGGAAGAAGAAGAAGAAGAGGAGGAAGAGGAGGUGAGUUUGGAUGGAGGUGAAGCGUGACGAGGGGGAUGUAAACACAGACUGGACGGGGCUCAUUCGUGGGACUAUUCAGGACACCAACCAGUGGAACAUUCCUCCAGCAUACAGAGGCAGCGGCAAUGUUAACAGGUCAGCAAGAACUGGGACAAAAAUGUGUGUAAUUCACACCUCUGCCACUAGUGGGCAGUAAAUCCCAAAAUGUAGAGAACCGCCAAAACGUGUGACAGGCUGAAUAAAAUGAGCAGAAAAAAUGCAUUAGAUCAGGGGUGUCAAACAUGCGGCCCGCAGGCCAAAACUGGCCCUCCAGAUGGUCCAAUGUGGCCUGCAGGAUGACUUUACAAAAUGUCAGAGAGAAAAUAUUAACUGCAAACUGUAAACAUGUAAAACUAUAAAUUUAAAAGGAUUUCUAGACCAUGACAAGUUGUUUUGAUCAUAAAGUAAAAUACUAGAUUGUUCAUUGUUCUUUUGUCAUUUUGUGUCUCAUUUUUGAAAUAUUUUGUCUUGUUUUUGUAGUUUUUUGUCUUUUUUUGUCUGACUUUUGUCGCUUUGUGUUUCCUUUUUGUCUUGCUUGUGAUUUUUGACUUAUUUUUUGUUGCUUUGUAACGUUUUUGUCUAAUUUUAUGUCUUUUUUGUUUUGUUUCGUGUUGUUUAUCUUAUUUUUUGUCGUUUUGUGUCUCGUUUUUGUCAUUUUGUGUCUCAUUUUUGUAAUAUUUUGACUUGUUUUUGCUGUUUCUUGUCUUUUUUUGUCUGACUUUUGUAGUUUUAUUCAUAAAGUACUAUAUUGUUCGGUUGCAGUUGUAAUGUGUAAAUGAUGAACUGAGGCAUAAUGUUGCUGAAAUAGAAGUUAUUUUUCUUCAGUAAUUUCCGGUUGUUCAUAAUGUUUUGUGAAAAAGAUAAUUCCUUAAAUGUGAGCAUUUUCAGAGUGUACUUUUUUGUGCUAAAACGAAGGAAAAUUUGGAAUUGUAAUUAUUUAUAGGUUAUUAUGCUGUGAUUUUACUAGUCACUGGAGAUUAUAUUGGGCUGAAUGUGGCCCCUGAACUAAAAUGAGUUUGACACCCCUGUAUUAGGUUGCCACUUUUGAAAUGAAGAAAUCCAAGAAAGUAGUAGAAGUGUGACAACCUGAAACUUACCCAUCUCCAUCUAGAUGUAUGUUGGUGUCGCUCCACAGAGGCAGCACCAUCCCAAUAGAGCAACUUUUACUGUAGAUGAGAAAAUUAUUUUAGCUAAUCUGAUAAUCUGAUAAAAAUGUACAAAACAUACAGCUGCAGCAGACAGAUUGACUACCUGUCCUUGUCUGUGAAGUCCAUUCCCAGCACAAUGUUUUCCUCUGUGUCUUGAUGGCCGUUGGUAUAGAUAACAACCAUGUAGCGCACUCGAUCUGACCAUCCGCUCUCUAACCGCACAGCCUGCACGACAAAAGGAGGGUUUGAAAAAAGAAAAAGUGGUACAAUUAGAUGACAGUUCUCUGAAGUUGUUGUGUACGUCAUUGCACGACAAACCCACAAAGUAGGCCUCCAUUCUGGUCUUACUCCUGUUUUUAGCAAUGACUCACAGCAAAUCACUUCUAAAAUUACUUUAAAUAAAGGUUCUCAUCCAGA